rnacentral:lncRNA from 1 species
GUGGAUGUGAGGUAGCUGCAGGUCUAAGUGAGCUCCAGACAGAGUUGGAAUGGGAUACAACAGGGAGGCUCCAGAGCUGGUUUGGGCAGUUCUCAUGUUUACCUGCCUUCCUCUGUGGCUCCACCCCCUUGAAUGGAGACUUCCUAUGUCAGGUGUGUGUGAGUGUGUGAAUUGUGUGGGAGCACAGGCGGACAGAAAGGCAGAAAGGCUGUGUUUUGCAUACCCAGGGCACACUCUUCCUGCCACAGAGAAAAGGGAAAUUGCAGUGGAUUCUUCUAUCUAUACUGUGGAAAGGAGAAGGCGUGACGUCUUGGACUGAGAUCACUCAGGGUCUCUCUUUCUCUCUCUCUCUGGGCCGGCAGUAGCCUCUAGGAUUACCUGUGCAGGUGAGGUGUGGAGGACACAGCAGGAGGCGGGAGAACAAACUGAAUGCGCUGUAAGUUUGAUCAGCUGAAAGCUUGUGGACUUGUGAACCUUUUUGUUUCCAGCCGUCACGCUCUGU